rnacentral:lncRNA from 1 species
AGCGGUGGGCGGGCCUGGGGAGAGUGGCGGCUCCGGGCCCCGCCGUGCCCCGCCCGGAAGCUGCCUUUCCGCUGGCGCUGCCCGCCUUCGACCCGGUGUUGCCGCUGCGGCGGUGAUGGAGCGUAGACCCCUGAGGUCCGCUCUGCGCUGCUGGCGGAGACGAGGCCGCGGGGACCGCAGCGCCGGGCGACCACACCCUCGGUUUGAGGGACAAGCCUGCCUUUUGCGCACUUGGACUUUUCCCCACCCUCUUCUAAGUCUUAGUGCCUCCGUACCAGGAAUGGCCGCUCCGUGUGAGAUCAGGGCUCUUGUUCUCCUGCCUCCGCGGCACCCCGUGCCGAGGACACGACACACAGCUGGAGAAAUGUACGUGAGCCCCAGAAAUCAGGUCCGGUUUGCAUGCGCUCUCAUGACAGUACCACGGCCUAGAUGUUAAUAAAGAGAAAACAUCAACAAUUUUCUCUUGGAAACUUUGUAAUCUAACAGUCCAUGGAUUUAUCCCUCACGUAACUCCUAACACAUAACUUAGGAGAUACUAGUUUUAAUUAAGUAUAUUCACCCGCAUGCCAGAAUUUGAUCACUUCCUUAACAUAAGAGCUGAAGAAACAGAGCAGACGAAACCGGAGGAAGAGUGCACGUGUUCUACCACAGACACCCACUCCCAGGGACCGUGACAACAGCCGAGGGUGGCAGGGUUCCGCCCUGCCCAGAACGAGGGCUCGGGUUUGGUGCCGUCCCACGAGCCAGCACUGCGGAUCUCAGGGUAAAGAAGUGAGCUCCCGAGACUGUUUUCUAGCAGACAGGUCCCCUCGGUGCGUGGCACUUGGGGUGAAUUUUCAAGCUUGGACCCGUGAGAGAGGGCGGAAACAAAGCAGCAUUGGCUCGUCUCAGAGCCAGAUCGAUGUGGAAGAUUUUCCAGUUUGUCACUCCAACGGCUAGAAUGUGCCAGGAAGAUGGAAGCGUGUGGGCAGGGAUGGGAAUCUGGUUCUUUUUAGAGGACGACGUGGGCCCCGUGAGACCUAAGACCCAGGUCGUCUGAAGACCUAAGAGGGGCCAAUACAAGAACGUUGUGUGGCCCUUUCACUCUCUUAGUAGGAAUACACCUGCAAAUGGUUCUUUCCUUUUUUCUCUAUUCCUCCUCAGGGCACCUUCCUAAACCUCGGCCAUCCCAUAAAUCAAAAGACUCUCCUGAUUCCUCUAUGUGUUUUUGUUUUUUUCUCUAACUAGGGACACGCCUAACUCCACCACUUUCCAUGUCUGCCUUUCACUUUAAAAACUGUAGUAUGGAUUUAAAAUAGCAUUUGGGGAGUUCCCGUUGUGGCUCAGUUGGUUAAGGACCUGAUGUUGUCUCUCUGAGGAUGUGAGUUUGAUCCCUGACCUCAUGAAGUGGGUUAAGGAUCCAGCGUUGCCACAAGCUGUGGUGUCGCAGCUGCAGCUCUGAUUCGACUCCUGGCCUGGGAACGUCCAUAGGCUGCAUGUGUAACUCUAAAGAGAAUUGAAAAAAGGAAGGAAAGAAGGACGGACGAGAAAGAAAGCAGAAGAGGUCACCUUUGGGACAAGCUGAGAAAGGACUUCGCGUAAAAGGAAUAGGAAACCUGGAGAAGAAGCUGAAUGUUCCACGAUUAAAAUACGGACUCCGGUUGAGAAACUCCUGGACCAGGAAAAUUCUAACAUGUUGAUGUGUGCAGUGUGACUAAAACGUCUGUAUUUAUGUCUCUGGCUCUGUUUUGUUUCUAUAUAUAUUUGACCCUUCCCCCCCAUCGAAUUUGUGUCAUUUCGUUGCAUUUCAUGUCUCCCCAAUUCACCUCAAAUUCUCUUUGUAUAUGUAAUACCCCCACCUCCAACCAACUUGUGAGCCACCCUUAGUUAUCUUUUAUUUACGGCAGAAUCAUCAAUAGAUGCGCUGUAAUAUCAAAAUCACUCUCAUCCGCCAUCUGUUCACAAUAUUCUAGAACUCCUUGGAAGUCAUAUCUUGUUAAAAGUCUGAUUCAUAUAAACCAGAUGUCCAG